rnacentral:rRNA from 1 species
AUACGGAGGUUGCGAGCGUUACUCGGAAUCACUGGGCGUAAAGCGCGCGCAGGCGGUCUUUUAAGUUGGAUGUGAAAGCCUACGGCUCAACCGUAGAACUGCAUCCAAAACUAUUAGACUAGAGUGUGGGAGAGGAAGAUGGAAUUAGUUGUGUAGGGGUAAAAUCCGUAGAGAUAACUAGGAAUACCAAAAGCGAAGGCAAUCUUCUGGAACACUACUGACGCUGAGGCGCGAAAGCGUGGGGAGCAAACAGGAUUAGAAACCCCUGUAGUCC